rnacentral:rRNA from 1 species
AGAGUUUGAUCAUGGCUCAGAACGAACGCUGGCGGCAGGCUUAACACAUGCAAGUCGAACGAACGUAGCAAUACGUUAGUGGCGCACGGGUGAGUAACGCGUGGAUAUCUGCCUUUUGGUUCGGGAUAACCUUGGGAAACUAGGGCUAAUACCGAAUGGUUCCUACGGGAUAAAGAUUUAUCGCCAAAAGAUGAGUCCGCGUCCGAUUAGCUAGUUGGUGGGGUAAUGGCCCACCAAGGCGACGAUCGGUAGCUGGUCUGAGAGGACGAUCAGCCACACUGGGACUGAGACACGGCCCAGACUCCUACGGGAGGCAGCAGUGGGGAAUAUUGGACAAUGGGGGCAACCCUGAUCCAGCCAUGCCGCGUGAGUGAUGAAGGCCUUCGGGUUGUAAAGCUCUUUUGGCGGGGACGAUGAUGACGGUACCCGCAGAAUAAGCCCCGGCUAACUUCGUGCCAGCAGCCGCGGUAAGACGAAGGGGGCUAGCGUUGUUCGGAAUUACUGGGCGUAAAGCGAGUGUAGGUGGUUGUCNNAGUCGGAUGUGAAAGCCUUGAGCUCAACUCAAGAAAUGCCNNNNGACUGGGCGCUAGAGGACCGGAGAGGAUAGUGGAAUUCCCAGUGUAGUGGUGAAAUACGUAGAGAUUGGGAAGAACACCAGUGGCGAAGGCGGCUAUCUGGACGGUUUCUGACACUAAGACUCGAAAGCGUGGGGAGCAAACAGGAUUAGAUACCCUAGUAGUCC